AAAAAGAAAAAAAAAAAAAAAGAAAAGAAAUAGAUAUAUGCACACUCUCAACCACAAGGGAGAUCAAGUUGAGGGUGCAUUUUGCAUUAGGUACUAUCUAAAGAAUGCUGCUACACCCUUUUCAGGCAUCUUGAAACUCAAAAUAGCUGUGUGUAAAUAUACGUUCAUGGAGGUUCCUUGUUCAAAGACUUAAAAAAGUUUUCUAGUCCUACUUUACUCUUAUAUCCAGGAUAGAAAUAAUAAAGAAAAUAAUAAAAAAGGUAGUAAACAGGAAGAAGAGUUAUUAAGGGAAACGUGGGUUAAAAUAGUUAAAACACAACAUAGGGGUUUCCUCUCCUUCCUUCAGUCUCAUGGGCUCUCCACAAACCUCAGUUAUGUAACAGGAAAUACAACAGAAAUAUUUCUGGGUUUGGAAAAUCUGCAGGACUGGUUUUGCCUCUUAUGGAAUCAUUUCCCAGAGAUGACAGCCAAGAUGCGUAAAGUGAUCUCACAAGGGUGUUUACAUAGAUUAGGAAUUAGCAAUCAGUGACGCAGAUACAAAGGUGGCAAAGAUGACAAUGAAGGCCAUGGUAGCAGCUGACUCUGAGAAACCAUGUGUGUGUGUGCGCGCGCGUGUGUGUGUGUGUAUGUGAGUGUGUGUGUCAUAUGAGGGACCAAGUGUGGGUCAGGAGGAGUCCUGCUUAUCAUCCCUCUCUUUGCAGAUCUCACCCCACAGGCCUUGGAAACCUGAGGCAGUAUUCUUCUGGGAUGUUUCCAACUAGGCUUCCCAUGAGGAUGUUAGAGCCAGCCUGGCUGGUGAAUUUUACUUCUCUCACCUCUCAGAGAUGCCCCAUCAAAACAUAGAGUCCAUUUCCUCAACCUUGAAUCCAGAUGGACUUGCUUUGUUCAUUGGGAGAUUAGCAAAUAUGACCCAAUCAGAGGCUUGAAAAGUGCUUGCAUGUUGGGGCUAGUUUUCUGGAACCUGAGAAUGCCCCCUAAAGGAGUCCAAGCUAGCCUGUUGGAGGAUGAGAGAUGGAGACUGAGAGACCAGCUAUUCCAACUAAAGCCACCUAGACCAACCAUUAGACAUGCACCUGGCCAUUGAAGACAAGUAGACCUGGUAGAGUGUCCAGCUGAAUGUAGAUAUCAGCUGAGACAGUCCAGGUAGGAAGAACCAUCUGGAUGACUCACAAAAGUGAGAGAGACUAUACAUGUUUGUUUUUAAAGUCAGUAAGUGAUGGAGUGGUUUGUUAUGCAGCAGAAACUAACCAACACAUUUGCUUGCCAGCUUACUCCCCAUUGGUUGCCUUCCUUUCCCUGUAUCUCUUUCCUACUCUGCUACUGGAGUUUCCUGAACCUCCCAAAUAAAUGUUCACUUAAAUCCUU